GAUGAACGCUGGCGGCGUGCCUAAUACAUGCAAGUCGAGCGAACAGACGAUGAGCUUGCUCCUCUGACGUUAGCGUCGGACGGGUGAGUAACACGUGGAUAACCUACCUAUAAGACUGGGAUAACUUCGGGAAACCGGAGCUAAUACCGGAUAAUAUAUUGAACCGCAUGGUUCAAUAGUGAAAGACGGUUUUGCUGUCACUUAUAGAUGGAUCCGCGCCGCAUUAGCUAGUUGGUAAGGUAACGGCUUACCAAGGCAACGAUGCGUAGCCGACCUGAGAGGGUGAUCGGCCACACUGGAACUGAGACACGGUCCAGACUCCUACGGGAGGCAGCAGUAGGGAAUCUUCCGCAAUGGGCGAAAGCCUGACGGAGCAACGCCGCGUGAGUGAUGAAGGUCUUCGGAUCGUAAAACUCUGUUAUUAGGGAAGAACAAAUGUGUAAGUAACUAUGCACGUCUUGACGGUACCUAAUCAGAAAGCCACGGCUAGCUACGUG
rnacentral:rRNA from 1 species